UCGAUGUUGACUCUUCGCCACCUGGAGCUGUAGGUGGUUCCAAGGGUUGCAUUGUUCGCCCAUUAAUCUGGUACGUGAGCUGGGUUCAGAACAUCGUGAAAUAGUUC
rnacentral:rRNA from 7 species